GUCCUGGUCGGUAACCAGGACGUGACCAGAAGAGGAG
rfam:Collinsella stercoris DSM 13279 Scfld1 genomic scaffold, whole genome shotgun sequence.